rnacentral:rRNA from 1 species
CACCUGUGCACUUUUUGUAGACCUUUCAGGUCUAUGUUGCUUCAUUUACCCCCAAUGUAUGUUAAUAGAAUGUUGUGCCUAUAUAAUAUAUACAACUUUCAGCAACGGAUCUCUUGGCUCUCGCAUCGAUGAAGAACGCAGCGAAAUGCGAUAAGUAAUGUGAAUUGCAGAAUUCAGUGAAUCAUCGAAUCUUUGAACGCACCUUGCGCUCCUUGGUAUUCCGAGGAGCAUGCCUGUUUGAGUGUCAUUAAUAUAUCAACCUUCUCUUUUUUGAGUUGUUUGGAUGUGGGGGUUUGCUGGCCUCUUAAAUGAUUCAGCUCCCCUGAAAUGCAUUAGCAGAACAACCUGUUCAUUGGCGGGAUAAUUAUCUAUGCUAUUGAA